rnacentral:rRNA from 1 species
CCUACGGGUGGCUGCAGUGGGGAAUAUUGGGCAAUGGGCGCAAGCCUGACCCAGCAACGCCGCGUGAAGGAAGAAGGCUUUCGGGUCGUAAACUUCUUUUAAGAGGGAAGAGCAGAAGACGGUACCUCUUGAAUAAGCCACGGCUAACUACGUGCCAGCAGCCGCGGUAAUACGUAGGUGGCAAGCGAUGGCCGGUUUUACUGGGUGAAAAGGGCGCGUAGCCGGGCUGAAAAGUCAGAUGGGAAAUCGCGGGGCUCAACCCCGGGCCUGCAUUUGAAACUGUUGGUCUGGAGUAUCGGAGAGGCAGGCGGAAUUCCUAGUGUAGCGGUGAAAUGCGUAGAUAUGAGGAGGAACACCAGUGGCGAAGGCGGCCUGCUGGACGACAACUGACGGUGAGGCGCGAAAGCGUGGGGAGCAAACAGGAUUAGAUACCCCAGUAGUC